rfam:Oryza barthii chromosome 8, whole genome shotgun sequence.
AAAAACUCAAUUUCUGAGUUUCCGUGUCUAACAUUUGACCGUUCGUCUUAUUUGAAAAAAAUAUAAACAAAUUUAAAAAGAUAAGUCAUGCAUAAAGUAUUAUACAUGUUUUAUCAUCUAACAAUAAUAAAAAUACUAAUCAUAAAAAAAUUUUAUAUAAGACGGAUGGUAAAACGUUGGACACGGAAACCGAAGAAUUCUGUCUUU